CGGGAGGCUCCACCAGUAAGGAAUAUUGCGCAAUGGAGGCAACUCUGACGCAGCCAUGCCGCGUGCAGGAAGAAGGCCUUAUGGGUCGUAAACUGCUUUUAUUUAGGAAUAAACCCCCGAACGUGUUCGGGGCUGAAGGUACUAAACGAAUAAGCACCGGCUAACUCCGUGCCAGCAGCCGCGGUAAUACGGAGGGUGCAAGCGUUAUCCGGAUUUAUUGGGUUUAAAGGGUGCGCAGGCGGGCUAUUAAGUCAGUGGUGAAAUCCCGGGGCUCAACUCCGGAACUGCCAUUGAUACUGAUAGUCUUGAGUUUGGUUGAAGUGGGCGGAAUGUAGCAUGUAGCGGUGAAAUGCAUAGAUAUGCUACAGAACACCAAUCGCGAAGGCAGCUCACUAAGCCAAAACUGACGCUCAUGCACGAAAGCGUGGGGAUCAAACAGGAUUAGAUACCCUUGUAGUC
rnacentral:rRNA from 1 species